GACGAACGCUGGCGGCGUGCUUAACACAUGCAAGUCGAACGGAAAGGGCCUGCUUUUGUGGGGUGCUCGAGUGGCGAACGGGCGAGUAACACGUGCGUAAUCAGCCCUUGCCUCUGGGAUAACUUCAGGUAACUGGGGCCUAUACCGGCUAGGAGCUCCUGCUCCAUGGCGGGGGUUGGAAAGUUGCGGCGGCUGGGGCUGGUAUCGCGGCUUAUCAGCUUGUUGGUGGGGUAGUGGAUUACCAAGGCUUUGACGGGUAGCCAGCCUGAGAGGGUGACCGGCCACAUAGGGACUGGGGUACGACCCAGACUCCUACGGGAGGCAGCAGUGGAAGACAGUGCACGAUAGGCGGAGUCCGGAUGCAGCGACGUCGCGUGGGAGAUGACGGCCAACGGGUUGUAAACCGCUUUCGCCUAUGACGAAGCGGGAGUGACGGUAAUGGAUAAGAAAGCACCGGCUAACUACGUG
rnacentral:rRNA from 1 species